AUCUAGAGAACUAUCUGAACGGUUCUAAAUCACAAUGAAGAUAUUUCUUGCAUCGAUUCUGCUGUUGGUUGCUGUAUUGUGCAUGUUACUUGGUGCCACAUACGGAAGGAUCUUACCAAUACCAUGUGGAGAGGUCUGUGGAUCCGGCCUAACCUGCGAUACAUCAAGGGGGGAAUGUGCUAAAGCGUCAUCUGGGAUCAGUUUCUAGAAAGAAAAAUGAAUUCGACUAUAAUUUGCUAAAUAUGAAGUAAUAAAAUAUUCUGCAGCAA